rnacentral:misc_RNA from 1 species
GCUGAAGAACGUAGCGAAAUGCGAUAAGUAGUGUGAAUUGCAGAAUUCAGUGAAUCAUCGAAUCUUUGAACGCACAUUGCGCCCGCCAGUAUUCUGGCGGGCAUGCCUGUUCGAGCGUCAUUUCAACCCUCAAGCACAGCUUGGUGUUGGGACUCGCGUUAAUUCGCGUUCCCCAAAUUGAUUGGCGGUCACGUCGAGCUUCCAUAGCGUAGUAGUAAAACCCUCGUUACUGGUAAUCGUCGCGGCCACGCCGUUAAACCCCAACUUCUGAAUGUUGACCUCGGAUCAGGUAGGAAUACCCGCUGAACUUAAGCAUAUCAAUAAGCGGAGGA